rnacentral:tRNA from 1 species
GGGGCUGUAGCUCAGUGGUAGAGUGCUUGCCUCACAUGUGUGAGGACCUGGGUUUGAUUCUCAGCACCA